AACGAACGCUGGCGGCAGGCUUAACACAUGCAAGUCGAGCGCCCCGCAAGGGGAGCGGCAGACGGGUGAGUAACGCGUGGGAAUCUACCCAUCUCUACGGAAUAACGCAUGGAAACGUGUGCUAAUACCGUAUACGUCCUUCGGGGGAAAGAUUUAUCGGAGAUGGAUGAGCCCGCGUUGGAUUAGCUAGUUGGUGGGGUAAAGGCCUACCAAGGCGACGAUCCAUAGCUGGUCUGAGAGGGUGGUCAGCCACACUGGGGCUGAGACACGGCCCAGACUCCUACGGGAGGCAGCAGUGGGGAAUAUUGGACAAUGGGCGCAAGCCUGAUCCAGCCAUGCCGCGUGAGUGAUGAAGGCCCUAGGGUUGUAAAGCUCUUUCACCGGUGAAGAUAAUGACGGUAACCGGAGAAGAAGCCCCGGCUAACUUCGUGCCAGCAGCCGCCGUAACAC
rnacentral:rRNA from 1 species